rnacentral:rRNA from 1 species
GACGAACGCUGGCGGCGUGCUUAACACAUGCAAGUCGAACGGAAAGGCCCUGCUUUUGUGGGGUGCUCGAGUGGCGAACGGGUGAGUAACACGUGAGUAACCUGCCCUUGACUUUGGGAUAACUUCAGGAAACUGGGGCUAAUACCGGAUAGGAGCUCCUGCUGCAUGGUGGGGGUUGGAAAGUUUCGGCGGUUGGGGAUGGACUCGCGGCUUAUCAGCUUGUUGGUGGGGUAGUGGCUUACCAAGGCUUUGACGGGUAGCCGGCCUGAGACGGUGACCGGCCCCAGUGGGACUGAGAUACGGACCAUACUCCUACGGGAGGCAGGAGUGGGGAAUAUUUCACAAUGGGAGGAAGCCUGAUGCAGCAACGCCGCGUGUGGGAUGACGGCCUUCGGGUUGUAAACCGCUUUCGCCUGUGACGAAGCGUGAGUGACGGUAAUGGGUAAAGAAGCACCGGCUAACUACGUG